UCCCUGGUGGCUCAGAUGGUAAAGAGUCUGCCUGCAAUGCAGGAGACCCAGGUUUGGUCCCUGGGUUGGGAA
rnacentral:tRNA from 1 species